UACGAAGGGGGCUAGCGUUGCUCGGAAUCACUGGGCGUAAAGGGUGCGUAGGCGGGUCUUUUAAGUCAGGGGUGAAAUCCUGGAGCUCAACUCCAGAACUGCCUUUGAUACUGAAGAUCUUGAGUUCGGGAGAGGUGAGUGGAACUGCGAGUGUAGAGGUGAAAUUCGUAGAUAUUCGCAAGAACACCAGUGGCGAAGGCGGCUCACUGGCCCGAUACUGACGCUGAGGCA
rnacentral:rRNA from 1 species